UACGUAGGGCGCAAGCGUUGUCCGGAAUUAUUGGGCGUAAAGAGCUCGUAGGCGGCUCGUUAAGUGUAGAGUGAAAUCUCUGGGCUCACCCCAGAAACUGCUCUGCAUACUGGCGAGCCUAGAGGGUCGAAGAGGUAUGUGGAAUUCCUGGUGUAGCGGUGAAAUGCGUUGAUAUCAGGAGGAACACCCAUGGCGAAGGCAGCAUACUGGUCGGCAUCUGACGCUGAGGCGCGAAAGCGUGGGUAGCAAACAGG
rnacentral:rRNA from 1 species